CAAAUGGGACCACUGUUGCGGGGUUCCAGGUGGAGCCGUGAGCCGGCGUAGUGCUGGUCUCCGAGGGGAGAUGAGAGACUGAGGGGAUUCCCAGUGUCGGUAGCAGUUCAUUUGCAAUGCGCUGCUCGUAGGUAAGGUGCUGUAGUUUGAGUUCUUGGACCGUUUGCUGCAGGAGUUGUGUUUGUUGCUUGGUGUACUGGGAGUCUGACUCCAGUGUGCCCAGGCGGCCCGUU